rnacentral:rRNA from 1 species
UGGGGAAUUUUGGACAAUGGGGGAAACCCUGCUCCAGCCAUCCCGCGUGUGCGAUGAAGGCCUUCGGGUUGUAAAGCACUUUUGGCAGGAAAGAAACGUCAUGGGUUAAUACCCCGUGAAACUGACGGUACCUGCAGAAUAAGCACCGGCUAACUACGUGCCAGCAGCCGCGGUAAUACGUAGGGUGCAAGCGUUAAUCGGAAUUACUGGGCAUAAAGCGUGCGCAGGAGGUUCGGAAAGAAAGAUGUGAAAUCCCGGAGAUCAACUUUGGAACUGCAUUUUUAACUACCGGGCUAGAGUGUGGCAGAGGGAGGUGGAAUUCCGCGUGUAGCAGUGAAAUGCGUAGAUAUGCGGAGGAACACCGAUGGCGAAGGCAGCCUCCUGGGAUAACACUGACGCUCAGGCACGAAAGCGUGGGGAGCAAACAGG